GACGUAGGGCGCGAGCGUUGUCCGGAAUUAUUGGGCGUAAAGAGCUCGUAGGCGGUCAGUCGCGUCUGCUGUGAAAACUCGGGGCUUAACUCCGGGCCUGCAGUGGGUACGGGCUGACUAGAGUGCGGUAGGGGAGACUGGAAUUCCUGGUGUAGCGGUGAAAUGCGCAGAUAUCAGGAGGAACACCGAUGGCGAAGGCAGCUCUCUGGGACGGUACUGACGCUGAGACGCGAAAGCGUGGGGAGCGAACAGG
rnacentral:rRNA from 1 species